GCCUGAUUUGUGUUGUGUGUCCUGAUAGUUGUUUACAGAAUAAUCUUAGAACUGUGUAGUUUAGAAAUCACUGGAACAAUUACAGAAUGAUUGGAACUUUCCAGAAUGAUCCUAAUAAAAGAUGCGUUAUAUAAACUUCUACCUUUUACUAGAAACUUCCGUUGUAACUUUCUAGGAUGUUCCAUUAUAGAGUGUUCUAGAACUUUCCU
rnacentral:lncRNA from 1 species